rnacentral:rRNA from 1 species
AACGAACGCUGGCGGCAGGCUUAACACAUGCAAGUCGAACGCUGUAGCAAUACAGAGUGGCAGACGGGUGAGUAACGCGUGGGAAUGUGCCCUUCGGUUCGGAAUAACUCAGGGAAACUUGAGCUAAUACCGGAUACGUGCGAGAGCAGAAAGAUUUAUCGCCGAAGGAUCGGCCCGCGUCCGAUUAGCUAGUUGGUGAGGUAAUGGCUCACCAAGGCGACGAUCGGUAGCUGGUCUGAGAGGAUGAUCAGCCACACUGGGACUGAGACACGGCCCAGACUCCUACGGGAGGCAGCAGUGGGGAAUAUUGGACAAUGGGCGCAAGCCUGAUCCAGCCAUGCCGCGUGAGUGAUGAAGGCCCUAGGGUUGUAAAGCUCUUUCGCCAGGGACGAUAAUGACGGUACCUGGAUAAGAAGCCCCGGCUAACUUCGUGCCAGCCGCCGCCGUAAAAC